GUAGUAUCAUAGGCAACGGGGUGAAGAGUGACAGGCUCGUUGUUCUCAGUGGAAACAAAAUGAGCCUUGGCGGGAGGAGCGGGUUGACGACGAAGUUGAACAGUCUUACCCUGAGCCUUGGCCUCCUUACGCUUAGCCUCGUUGGCCUUGACACGGUCCAAGAAGUCUUGACGGCACUUGGAAUGCUUAACGUGCUCAAUACGAACAUUGACACGCUUUUCCAUGUAACGGUUACCAACAACCUUGUAGAUCAAGACACCAACGGAUGAUUGAGUAACGUUGUAAACGACACCAGUCUUACCAUGGUAAUACUUGUGAGGCAUACCCUUCUGGACAGCACCAUUGACCUUAAUGUCGACAAUAUCACCAACUUUGUAAGUUUUCAAGUAAGUGGACAAACGGAUCUGACCAUGCUCCCUGAAACCACGCUGAAAAGUGUAGCGGGUACGAGCUCUAAUACCAUAGGAAUGAGGCAUGUUGGGUCCUGUGAAAGGGAACUGUAGGUUGUAGGAGUUUUGGCAUGUCUAGCAAAUUGUUUGCGUUUCAAAAAAACAGUCACACAACUAGACUGACUCUUAAAAUACGUUGCAAUGCCUUGCUAAAAUAAUAAAA